GUGCCGGUUACAGAGUCUUGAAACUCUAACUGAUGAAGCAUCAGUGUGGCCCCAGGGAGAUCUCACCCAGCAUACAAAAAGCGUCGGGUUCAAUCCCCAGCAACCCUCCAAAUAAUAACGCAACAGGACCAAAGAUGGCCCAUGAAAAGAAGAUGGCAGCACACCUGACUCUGACCCUCAGAACCCACAAGAUAGGCACCAGGCGGGAAACUGCUCAACUUCUCCAGACCUUAACCUUCCCACCUGCUCCACAAGGAUGCUAGCGCUCCACUCAGAAGUGCGUGUUCCUCGCUAAGGUCAGGUGAGGCGCUACUCUGCUGCUCUCCCUACCAUAAACAAGCUGCCGUUCACAAUCAGCCUGGUGUCAAGUUUUUCACAGAUUCCUGCUUUGUCGGUGUUUAAAACAAUCCCCAAACAUGAUAAUAAAGUGCUGGGUAGUGUUUCCAAACACA